UGAUAUUCGCGCUCAGUCCGAGUCUCGACGUCUCCAAAAAAGAUCAGAAUUCCUCGCAAAGACCUUUACAUUUCUCGAGUAUUCAUGCAAAAAGACCAUCAAGAAUGUUAUGAGAAACACUCUCACUCGAGGUGACAGCUUUAUGAUGCUGAAGAAAGCAGCGUUGACACUAAUCCGACUUAAUGCUCCUAUUUUUUAAGUUACUAAUUAGGAAAUAUCUCAAGACAAUUCCUGCAAGCUUGCGAGGAGAGCUGUUUUUGUAAAAUGCAGGAGCGACGGCGUUACCAAAACACGAUGCAACUGGAAACACUCGUUCUGCAACUUAUUCUGUUGCAAGGAGAUCCAUUUAUUCGAUCAGGUGCUGUAUAUACGGAAUACCAAUUCCGUUAAUUGCGUCCGUAGACUGUGUCGCUCUAUAUACCUGGUACUACUCGAUAUACUAUUUCAUUCGCGGACAGUAUGUUGACGAAUGACAAACAUGUUUCGGUCGAAAGAGAGUGAGAUCGACGUGAGAUUAAAUGCUUUCAAGAAUUACUUCAUGCAGCCGAAAUAGUUAACCGUGGAAAUAAGAGGAGUACUCUUUGAAUUAAGAGGAGUUAUUCUCGAGAAGAGGCGCAAGGAGAACAAACUUUUAAUCGCGAAAUAAACGAUUAAUGACUUGAGCAAGUUAUUCUCUUUGGAUUGAUCUUCUUGCGGCAAAGAACAUGCGCUAUAGCGAUAAUAAUUUAUUGUUUUAAGCUGCUUACUUAGACUUUGCUACCUCGGAAGGGUUAAACUGAUGAUGGUAUGAUGGCUGCACAAUAUGAAUAAUAGAAUAUGUAUAGAAACAUAAGAAUGGAAAUGAAGAUGCAUAUUAUAAAAAUAAGUUGAAAAAUG